UGAUGCAGAAAAAAUGUUCACUCCAAUUAGUUUAUAAUUUCAUGCACUAAAGAUAUUUGUUGUCAAAAGGUUAUAUUUUUAUGUUGCAAAGUACAAAGUUCUAAAAUAGUGUAGUAAUUUUCAUUGUAAAAUUUAGUUCAGAUGAGGUUCAGAAAGUCUAGCUUGGCUAUAACUGUUAUUAGUUUUCCAAAAAGUAUUAUCAUGAUUGUCAUAACAGAUUACUUCCCCUUAUUGUGAGUGUUGCUCUUCAUCAGAGCACAUGGCUUGUCACUGCCUCCAUGUUGGAGACAUUCAGCUGUUGUAGUUGGCAUGAACACAAAUUUUUCUGAACCUCACCAAGCCAAAGAAAGAAGUCAAAGUGAAAUUGAACGUAUACCAGAAUAAAUUAUUGGUGCGAGUAAA